GAUGAACGCUGGCGGCGUGCCUAAUACAUGCAAGUCGAGCGAACAGACGAGGAGCUUGCUCCUCUGACGUUAGCGGCGGACGGGUGAGUAACACGUGGAUAACCUACCUAUAAGACUGGGAUAACUUCGGGAAACCGGAGCUAAUACCGGAUAAUAUAUUGAACCGCAUGGUUCAAUAGUGAAAGACGGUUUUGCUGUCACUUAUAGAUGGAUCCGCGCCGCAUUAGCUAGUUGGUAAGGUAACGGCUUACCAAGGCAACGAUGCGUAGCCGACCUGAGAGGGUGGACGGCCACACUGGAACUGAGACGCGGUCCAGACUCCUACGGGAGGCAGCAGUAGGGAAUCUUCCGCAAUGGGCGAAAGCCUGACGGGGCAACGCCGCGUGAGUGAUGAAGGUCUUCGGAUCGUAAAACUCUGUUAUUAGGGAAGAACAAAUGUGUAAGUAACUAUGCACGUCUUGACGGUACCUAAUCAGAAAGCCACGGCUAACUACGUG
rnacentral:rRNA from 1 species